AAGCGUGCGCAGGCGGUUUUGUAAGACUGUCGUGAAAUCCCCGGGCUCAACCUGGGAAUGGCGAUGGUGACUGCAAGGCUAGAGUUUGGCAGAGGGGGGUAGAAUUCCACGUGUAGCUAGUGAAAUGCGUAGAUAUGUGGAGGAACACCGAUGGCGAAGGCAGCCCCCUGGGUCAAAACUGACGCUCAUGCACGAAAGCGUGGGGAGCAAACAGGAUUAGAUACCCGAGU
rnacentral:rRNA from 1 species